rnacentral:rRNA from 1 species
CUUAUUCUGAUUUCUUCGGAAUGAAAAAUUUGGUGACUGAGUGGCGGACGGGUGAGUAACGCGUGGGUAACCUGCCUCAUACAGGGGGAUAACAGUUAGAAAUGACUGCUAAUACCGCAUAAGACCACAGCACCGCAUGGUGCAGGGGCAAAAACUCCGGUGGUAUGAGAUGGACCCGCGUCUGAUUAGGUAGUUGGUGGGGUAACGGCCUACCAAGCCGACGAUCAGUAGCCGACCUGAGAGGGUGACCGGCCACAUUGGGACUGAGACACGGCCCAAACUCCUACGGGAGGCAGCAGUGGGGAAUAUUGCACAAUGGGGGAAACCCUGAUGCAGCGACGCCGCGUGAGCGAAGAAGUAUUUCGGUAUGUAAAGCUCUAUCAGCAGGGAAGAAAAUGACGGUACCUGACUAAGAAGCACCGGCUAAAUACGUGCCAGCAGCCGCGGUAAUACGUAUGGUGCAAGCGUUAUCCGGAUUUACUGGGUGUAAAGGGAGCGUAGACGGAUGGGCAAGUCUGAUGUGAAAACCCGGGGCUCAACCCCGGGACUGCAUUGGAAACUGUUCAUCUAGAGUGCUGGAGAGGUAAGUGGAAUUCCUAGUGUAGCGGUGAAAUGCGUAGAUAUUAGGAGGAACACCAGUGGCGAAGGCGGCUUACUGGACAGUAACUGACGUUGAGGCUCGAAAGCGUGGGGAGCAAACAGGAUUAGAUACCCUGGUAGUCCACGCCGUAAACGAUGACUACUAGGUGUCGGGUGGCAAAGCCAUUCGGUGCCGCAGCAAACGCAAUAAGUAGUCCACCUGGGGAGUACG